UUCACCAGCAACAGGUCUGGUUUGGGGUUUUCACCAGCAACAGGUCUGGUUUGGGGUUUUCACCAGCAACAGGUCUGGUUUGGGGUUUUCACCAGCAACAGGUCUGGUUUGGGGUUUUCACCAGCAACAGGUCUGGUUUGGGGUUUUCACCAGCAACAGGUCUGGUUUGGGGUUUUAACCAGCAACAGGUCUGGUUUGGGGUUUUCACCAGCAACAGGUCUGGUUUGGGGUUUUCACCAGCAACAGGUCUGGUUUGGGGUUUUCACCAGCAACAGGUCUGGUUUGGGGUUUUCACCAGCAACAGGUCUGGUUUGGGGUUUUCACCAGCAACAGGUCUGGUUUGGGGUUUUCACCAGCAACAGGUCUGGUUUGGGGUUUUCACCAGCAACA